UACGUAGGUGGCAAGCGUUGUCCGGAUUUAUUGGGUUUAAAGGGUGCGUAGGCGGCUUUGUAAGUCAGUGGUGAAAUAUGGCAGCUCAACUGUCAAGGUGCCAUUGAUACUGCGGAGCUUGAGUACAGAUGAGGUAGGCGGAAUUGACGGUGUAGCGGUGAAAUGCUUAGAUAUCGUCAAGAACACCUAUAGCGAAGGCAGCUUACUAGGCUGUAACUGACGCUGAGGCGCGAAAGCGUGGGGAGCAAACAGG
rnacentral:rRNA from 1 species